CAGGAAUGAAUCUGUUGAAUUAAAUGAAUGCACUAUUAUCUAAGCUUAGUGCCUCUUGGACAACAUGUAAAAUUGGACUCUUAGCAAGCAAUACACUCUACUAUCUAAAUUCAAAUACAAUUAACGGUUAGUUUUCCUCAUAUUUCAUAUCUCUCUACCUUAACUUCCUGAAUUUUAUACCUAACUCUAUUUAUACUCUUUUGUUUUAUUGCUAAGGUUUGAGACAUGGAAAUGGCCAAUUUCUCCAUAUUAAAUGUAGAUCUUUUUAAAUAUGUUUUUCACCCACUUAACAAUCUUUUUGAAUGACCGUUGUUGGUUUGGAAGACCAGAUGAUGUCCACCUCACUGCUAACUCCAUUUUCUUUUUACUUCUCUUCCCUUUGUCUUUUGCUCCUUCUUCCCAGGCAUCUACCCACAAAAUCUCCUGACUCCCUUGUUAUUUGUUUCUUCCUGUCAUAUUUGCUAUGUUUAUAUCAACUUAAUGUUGACAGAGGUAUAUGUACUUUAGCUAUCUUUAUUAAGGUAUGGUGCUGUGACAUUC
rnacentral:lncRNA from 1 species